rnacentral:rRNA from 1 species
UGUGAACUCGAAGAGUAGGGCGGGACACGUGGUAUCCUGUCUGAAUAUGGGGGGACCAUCCUCCAAGGCUAAAUACUCCUGACUGACCGAUAGUGAACCAGUACCGUGAGGGAAAGGCGAAAAGAACCCCGGCGAGGGGAGUGAAAAAGAACCUGAAACCGUGUACGUACAAGCAGUGGGAGCACCUUCGGGUGUGACUGCGUACCUUUUGUAUAAUGGGUCAGCGACUUAUAUUCUGUAGCAAGGUUAACCGUAUAGGGGAGCCGAAGGGAAACCGAGUCUUAACUGGGCGUUAAGUUGCAGGGUAUAGACCCGAAACCCGGUGAUCUAGCCAUGGGCAGGUUGAAGGUUGGGUAACACUAACUGGAGGACCGAACCGACUAAUGUUGAAAAAUUAGCGGAUGACUUGUGGCUGGGGGUGAAAGGCCAAUCAAACCGGGAGAUAGCUGGUUCUCCCCGAAAGCUAUUUAGGUAGCGCCUCGUGAACUCAUCUUCGGGGGUAGAGCACUGUUUCGGCUAGGGGGCCAUCCCGGCUUACCAACCCGAUGCAAACUACGAAUACCGAAGAAUGUUAUCACGGGAGACACACGGCGGGUGCUAACGUCCGUCGUGAAGAGGGAAACAACCCAGACCGCCAGCUAAGGUCCCAAAGUCAUGGUUAAGUGGGAAACGAUGUGGGAAGGCACAGACAGCCAGGAUGUUGGCUUAGAAGCAGCCAUCAUUUAAAGAAAGCGUAAUAGCUCACUGGUCGAGUCGGCCUGCGCGGAAGAUGUAACGGGGCUAAACCAUGCACCGAAGCUGCGGCAGCGACACUAUGUGUUGUUGGGUAGGGGAGCGUUCUGUAAGCCGUUGAAGGUGGCCUGUGAGGGUUGCUGGAGGUAUCAGAAGUGCGAAUGCUGACAUAAGUAACGAUAAAGCGGGUGAAAAGCCCGCUCGCCGGAAGACCAAGGGUUCCUGUCCAACGUUAAUCGGGGCAGGGUGAGUCGACCCCUAAGGCGAGGCCGAAAGGCGUAGUCGAUGGGAAACAGGUUAAUAUUCCUGUACUUGGUGUUACUGCGAAGGGGGGACGGAGAAGGCUAUGUUAGCCGGGCGACGGUUGUCCCGGUUUAAGCAUGUAGGCGGAGGUUCCAGGUAAAUCCGGUACCUUUUAACGCUGAGGUGUGAUGACGAGGCACUACGGUGCUGAAGUAACAAAUGCCCUGCUUCCAGGAAAAGCCUCUAAGCAUCAGGUAACAUCAAAUCGUACCCCAAACCGACACAGGUGGUCAGGUAGAGAAUACCAAGGCGCUUGAGAGAACUCGGGUGAAGGAACUAGGCAAAAUGGUGCCGUAACUUCGGGAGAAGGCACGCUGAUAUGUAGGUGAAGCCCCUGCGGGUGGAGCUGAAAUCAGUCGAAGAUACCAGCUGGCUGCAACUGUUUAUUAAAAACACAGCACUGUGCAAACACGAAAGUGGACGUAUACGGUGUGACGCCUGCCCGGUGCCGGAAGGUUAAUUGAUGGGGUUAGCGGCAACGCGAAGCUCUUGAUCGAAGCCCCGGUAAACGGCGGCCGUAACUAUAACGGUCCUAAGGUAGCGAAAUUCCUUGUCGGGUAAGUUCCGACCUGCACGAAUGGCGUAAUGAUGGCCAGGCUGUCUCCACCCGAGACUCAGUGAAAUUGAACUCGCUGUGAAGAUGCAGUGUACCCGCGGCAAGACGGAAAGACCCCGUGAACCUUUACUAUAGCUUGACACUGAACACUGGUCCUUGAUGUGUAGGAUAGGUGGGAGGCUUUGAAGUGUGGACGCCAGUCUGCAUGGAGCCGUCCUUGAAAUACCACCCUUUAAUGGCUGGUGUUCUAACGUAGACCCGUGAUCCGGGUUGCGGACAGUGUCUGGUGGGUAGUUUGACUGGGGCGGUCUCCUCCCAAAGAGUAACGGAGGAGCACGAAGGUUAGCUAAUCCUGGUCGGACAUCAGGAGGUUAGUGCAAUGGCAUAAGCUAGCUUGACUGCGAGAGUGACGGCUCGAGCAGGUGCGAAAGCAGGUCAUAGUGAUCCGGUGGUUCUGAAUGGAAGGGCCAUCGCUCAACGGAUAAAAGGUACUCCGGGGAUAACAGGCUGAUACCGCCCAAGAGUUCAUAUCGACGGCGGUGUUUGGCACCUCGAUGUCGGCUCAUCACAUCCUGGGGCUGAAGUAGGUCCCAAGGGUAUGGCUGUUCGCCAUUUAAAGUGGUACGCGAGCUGGGUUUAGAACGUCGUGAGACAGUUCGGUCCCUAUCUGCCGUGGGCGCUGGAGAAUUGAGGGGGGCUGCUCCUAGUACGAGAGGACCGGAGUGGACGCAUCACUGGUGUUCGGGUUGUCAUGCCAAUGGCACUGCCCGGUAGCUAAAUGCGGAAGAGAUAAGUGCUGAAAGCAUCUAAGCACGAAACUUGCCCCGAGAUGAGUUCUCCCUGAGCCUUUAAGGCUCCUGAAGGAACGUUGAAGACGACGACGUUGAUAGGUCGGGUGUGUAAGCGCAGCGAUGCGUUGAGCUAACCGAUACUAAUGAACCGUGAGGCUUAACCUU